ensembl:lncRNA
AAUUCCUUUGUUCUCUCUUGCCAACAUAGCAUAUUGGUAACAUUUUUAAAAGCUAUCAAUGUGAUGAGUGAAAAAAAAAAAAAGGAUUACUUUGUGGUGCUAAAUGUUCCUAUUUUCUGAGGGAUGAGGUUAAACACAUUUUCUUAUGCUUAAGAAUCAUUUGUAUUUCAUCUUUUGUGUACCUGUUGCUCAUAUCCUUUACCCACUUUCCUACUGGAUUGCUAGUUUUAGGUUAUUGGUUUCAAGGUUUAUCUUAUACAUGAACAAAAUCAUUCUUUCAUCUUGAGUUCUGUAUGGUGCUUUUUUUUUUUUCCUCAGAAUUUUUUUUUGUAUUCUUCUAUGAGAAAAUUUCUUAAUUUGCUUUUUUUUUUCCAUUAUGGUUUAUUACAGAAUAUUGAAUAUAGUUCUCUGUGAUAUGCACAGACAAACAUCAUCGACCAGACAAAGCAUGUACCUUAUCCUGGAGGACUGUGCAGAAGCCCUGCAAACACUUCAACAUAUGGAGAACUUCUUAAGACCAGCAUGGAUAAACUACCCAGGACAUUGAAGGACAGUACUGUGGGGGAUGCGCUACAAGCAGAGAGUGUGAAUCUACAAAAUCUUGUCUAUCGUAAUAACAGCAAAGUGUUGAUCUGUCGAUGUUGGAAGAGGUCCACUAUAAUCAACCUGGCAGGCAGCUGACUGAUUUUUCAGGAAAUGGUGCCAUGAUGGGGAUUACAGAGUUGGUUUUUGCUGUUGGCUAAAGGGCCACCUUGCAAUGGCUGUAAGAAGAUCAGCCAGGGUGAGCAGAAACCCAGGUUGCUGACCCUGUGAAAACUUCCAUCCAGGGCAUCGUGGCAUCUACUCAUGAACCCAUGAAUGCAUUGUGUAAUGACAGGAGUGGCUGGGAAGACAGUUAGGGAUGGGAGAUAAAGAGACUGAGUAAACAAGAGCCUCAUGAAAACAAGACAGAAAACUGACAGUUCUUGUUGCUUCUGAAAUUGUUGACAUGGGUCUUCCAUAAAAGCCAGACUUUUUGUGGCAUAGCUAAACACAUACAGUGGAAACAGUGACAGACUUUAUUUUUUGGAGCUCCAAAAUCACUGAAGAUGGUGAGGCAGCCAUGAAAUUAAAAGAUGUUUACUCCUUGGAAGGAAAGUUAUGACCAGCCUAGACAGCAUAGUAAAAAGCAGAGACAUUACUUUGUCAACAAGGGUCCAUCUAUCAAAGCUAUGAUUUUUCCAGUAGUCAUGUAUGUAUGGAUGUGAAAAUUGGACCGUAAAGAAAGCUGAGCCCUGAAGAAUUGAUGCUUUUGAAUUGUGGUGUUGGAAAAGGCUCUUGAGAGUCCCUUGGACUACAAGGAGAUCCAAUCAGUCCAUCCUAAAGAUUAGUCCUGAGUGUUCAUUGGAAGGACUGAUGCUGAAGCUGAAACUCCAAUACUUUGGCCACCUCAUGCGAAGAGCUGACUCAUCUGAAAAGACCCUGAUGCUGGGAAAGAUUGAAGGCAGGAGGAGAAGGGGAUGAGAGAGGAUGAGAUGGUUGGAUGGCAUCACCGACACAAUGGACAUGAGUUUGAGUAAAUUCCUUGAGUUGGUGAUGGACAGGAAGUCUUGGCAUGCUGUAGUCCAUGGGGUCAUGAAGAGUUGAACACGACUGAGUGACUGAACUGAACUGAACUGAAACACACACACCUGGGCUAGGAGUCAGAAAAGCUGAAGGAGGAUCCAGAGACGUGUGAAGCACUUGCAGACCCAGCUGUAGAUUCACACUAGUGAGGCAUAGCAGGAAGAGUUCAGGAUUGUGAAUCCUGGGGUCUGAGAGUUUCUGUCAUCAUUCCAUCAUCAUCUGGACAUGAGAACUUGGUCCCUGGAACACUGUCAUUAAGGGCUGAGAGGUGAAGAUACAUUAGAUAAGAAAAUAGCAGACAGGGACCCUGAAACACUUUAAGAAACCCCAGUCUGCAGGAAAUCCUCAUCUUGGCUCCAAUCAUCAGAAAACCUGUUCUUUACCAAAGGUAGGUCCUUCAACCUACAUUUGUUAAGAUUUUCUACAAAUGUCCUUCAUAGGAAAGAAAGUUUUAUUUCUCUGUUGUAUCUAAAGUGUAAAAAC